rnacentral:rRNA from 1 species
UACGUAGGGGGCAAGCGUUGUCCGGAUUUAUUGGGCGUAAAGAGCGUGUAGGCGGCCAGACAGGUCCGUUGUGAAAACUCGAGGCUCAACCUCGAGAUGUCGAUGGAAACCGUCUGGCUAGAGUCCGGAAGAGGAGUGUGGAAUUCCCGGUGUAGCGGUGAAAUGCGCAGAUAUCGGGAGGAACACCAAUGGCGAAGGCAGCUCGCUGGGACGGUACUGACGCUGAGACGCGAAAGCGUGGGGAGCGAACAGG